rnacentral:lncRNA from 1 species
AGCGAUUAGGUCAUCUUAUAAUCUAAUCAGAUCAAACCAAAUUGAAUCUAAUUCAAUUAGAUUUGAUCAAAACCUCAAUACUCAAUCAAAUUAAGCUAAUUAAAAAUUUAAUUACUAAUCAAUUAUCCUAUAAUUUAUCAACAAUUGAUAAAUUAAUUUAUUACAACUUUUGUACAAGGUUAAUCAUCAAUCGAAUUGAUGAUUAUACCCUAGAAUGAUUCUCAAUCAUCGAUCAGCCACAUGAUCAGUCAGAGAUUUUUUUUAAGUGUGACCCCAU